rnacentral:lncRNA from 1 species
UCUCGUUGAGUUCUUUGCUUUCUUCUCACUGUUGUCUAGUCUCCUCUCUGACUUGACCGUCGGAGGGUCCCCGCCAGAGCCGCUUCCGGUCAAUGCGGACUUUCUUUUGCAGGCGCUCGUUCCCGGUGAUCUGGCGACGAGGGGAUUGGCCGCAACAAUUAUUAUGUCCAACUGAGGGUGCAACCCUGUAAGAGAAUUACAAUUCACAUAAGAAUAAGCUCAUAGGCAAUGGUGAGUCACUGAAGCAGAGAUAUUUCUUACUUGAUAGCUAAGUUGGGAUCUUAAAAACUGAGUAUUAAACAAGAAUACUACAAUUCACCAAUGAAACCGCAAAGAAUCAAGAAGUACACCUGCAAUUAUUUCGGCUAACAAGAACAAAAUGUUCAUUAGCUAAUAUAACCUUGAAGCUUGUCUUAUCAUGGCCUAAGAACUUGAGAACAGACAGAAAUUUUUAACAAUUUUGCAUCAUUAGGACAAGAGAUUAUUAGUUUUUUCUGAUGAGGACAACAAAUGGAGAAUUCUCAC